GAUGAACGCUGGCGGCGUGCUUAACACAUGCAAGUCGAACGAAGUGGCGAACGGGUGAGUAACGCGUAAUCAACCUGCCCUUCCGAGGGGGACAACAGUUGGAAACGACUGCUAAUACCGCAUACUGAAGGAGGGGAUUGCGUCUGAUUAGCUAGUUGGAGGGGUAACGGCCCACCAAGGCGAUGAUCAGUAGCCCGUCUGAGAGGAGGAACGGCCACAGUUGGACUGAGACACUGCCCAGACUCCUACGGGAGGCAGCAGGGGGGAAUCUUCCGCAAUGUACGAAAGUCUGACGGAGCAACGCCGCGUUAGUGAUGACGGCCUUCGGGUUGUAAAGCUCUGUUUGUCGGGACGCGGUACCGGAAUAGAAAGCCACGGCUAACUACGUGCCAGCAGCCGCGGUAAUAC
rnacentral:rRNA from 1 species